rnacentral:rRNA from 1 species
GUGUCAGCAGCCGCGGUAAUACGGAGGAUCCAAGCGUUAUCCGGAAUCAUUGGGUUUAAAGGGUCCGUAGGCGGUCUGAUAAGUCAGUGGUGAAAGCCCAUCGCUUAACGAUGGAACGGCCAUUGAUACUGUCAGACUUGAAUUACUGGGAAGUAACUAGAAUAUGUAGUGUAGCGGUGAAAUGCUUAGAUAUUACAUGGAAUACCAAUUGCGAAGGCAGGUUACUACCAGUGGAUUGACGCUGAUGGACGAAAGCGUGGGGAGCGAACAGGAUUAGAAACCCUGGUAGUCC